GUCGUUCAUGUUCUUGAUUGAUUGGUGCAUGGCAAACUAAUUAACUUUUAUUUAUUCCGGAUCUGGGGUGUUACAGACAAGUCUGGGUAAUCUUUGAAAUUUCAUCGUGAUGGGGAUAGAUCAUUGCAAUUGUUGGUCUUCAACGAGGAAUUCCUAGUAAGCGCGAGUCAUCAGCUCGCGUUGACUAC
rnacentral:rRNA from 1 species